AGGACGACGCUGGCGGCAUGCCUAACACAUGCAAGUCGAACGGGGGUAGCAAUACCCUAGUGGCGAACGGGUGAGUAACACAUAAGCAAUCUGCCCUUCACAGGGGGAUAACAGCGGGAAACUGCUGCUAAUACCGCAUAAGACCACGGUACCGCAUGGUACAGGGGUAAAAACGAAUCAGUGGUGAAGGAUGAGCUUAUGUCCCAUUAGCUAGUUGGUGAGAUAACAGCCCACCAAGGCGACGAUGGGUAGCCGACCUGAGAGGGUGAUCGGCCACACUGGAACUGAGACACGGUCCAGACUCCUACGGGAGGCAGCAGUGGGGAAUAUUGGGCAAUGGAGGAAAAACCUCUUACCCAGCAAUGCCGCGUGAGUGAAGAAGGUCUUCGGAUUGUAAAGCUCUUUGAUUGGGGACGAAGAAAGUGACGGUACCCAAAGAACAAGCCCCGGCUAACUACGUGCCAGCCGCUGC
rnacentral:rRNA from 1 species